rnacentral:misc_RNA from 1 species
ACACCUCAACUCUCAUGGCUUGCCGUGAUGAGCUUGGACUUAUGGGGGUCUUGCUGGCUUAUGGUCGGCUCCUCUCAAACGAAUCAGCUUGCCAGUGUUUGGUGGCGUCACAGGUGUGAUAACUAUCUACGCCUGUGGUUUUCUACCAGAUAACCUUCAGCAAUGGAGGUUCACCGGAGCUCAUAAAUGUCUCUCCCCAGUGAAGACAGCCUUUUGAAC